CAGGCGUGAGCCACUGCGCCAGGCGAAGGCCUCUAUUUUAUCCGACAAUUCUAAUUAGGUACCACUGAGACACAUAGUCCUAUUUGGCCCUGGCUGCCUUUAGACUAUUAUCUUUUUCUCAUUUGAAAGAGCUGCAGACCUUGGGUACUGAUUUGAAUUGUUGGAUGUCCAGACUUGCAGUUCAGGCUCAGCUGACAUUCUUGCCCUGGUGAGCUUCUGUACCUUCCUCUUCGCCCUCUGAAGGUUGGCUGAAUAAUCAACUGACAAAAGUCAGAUUAAUAAGAGAAGAGGCAGGCUGGGCACGGUGGUUCAUGCCUGUAAUCCCAAUACAAUGGGAGGCUGAGGCAAGAAGAUCACUGGAGCUCAGGAGUUUGAGACCAGCCUGCAUAAAAUAGUGGGAACCCAUCUCUAUUAAAAGUAAAAAAAAAUUAGCCAGGUAUGGUGGCAUGUGCCUAUAGUCCCAGCUACUCAGGAGGCUGAGGCAGGAGGGUUGCUUAAGUGGGAGGCUGAGGCAGGAGGACCUUGGAGGUCAAGGCUACAGUGAGCCAUGAUCAUGCGACUGCAC
rnacentral:lncRNA from 10 species